GGAGCUGUGGUGUAGUGGUUAACAUAUCCGCCUGUCACGUGGAAGAUCGCGGGUUCGAAACCCGUCAGCUCCG
rnacentral:tRNA from 1 species